rnacentral:rRNA from 1 species
CCCGGGCCUUGUACACACCGCCCGUCACACCAUGGGAGUCUGUUGCUCCAGAAAAAGGUUUGCCUAACCGCAAGGGGGGGCGAUCUUUUAAGGAGUGGCAGGUAACUGGGGUG